rnacentral:hammerhead_ribozyme from 1 species
AUCCAAAUGAAGAGUUCCCAAUAGGAUGAAAUGCGUAUCCUGGAU